rnacentral:rRNA from 1 species
AUUAAAGUUUGAUCCUGGCUCAGGACGAACGCUGGCGGCGUGCUUAACACAUGCAAGUCGAACGGUGACGAGGAGCUUGCUCCUCUGAUCAGUGGCGAACGGGUGAGUAACACGUGAGCAACCUGCCCCAGACUCUGGGAUAACAGUUGGAAACAGCUGCUAAUACCGGAUACGAGACGGAGAGGCAUCUCUACCGUCUGGAAAGUUUUUCGGUCUGGGAUGGACUCGCGGCCUAUCAGCUAGUUGGUGAGGUAAUGGCUCACCAAGGCGACGACGGGUAGCCGGCCUGAGAGGGCGACCGGCCACACUGGGACUGAGACACGGCCCAGACUCCUACGGGAGGCAGCAGUGGGGAAUAUUGCACAAUGGGCGAAAGCCUGAUGCAGCGACGCCGCGUGAGGGAUGACGGCCUUCGGGUUGUAAACCUCUUUCAGCAGGGAAGAAGCGAAAGUGACGGUACCUGCAGAAGAAGCACCGGCUAACUACGUGCCAGCAGCCGCGGUAAUAAU